UACGGAGGGUGCAAGCGUUAUCCGGAUUCACUGGGUUUAAAGGGUGCGUAGGUGGGUUGGUAAGUCAGUGGUGAAAUCCCCGAGCUUAACUUGGGAACUGCCAUUGAUACUAUCAAUCUUGAAUACUGUGGAGGUCAGCGGAAUAUGUCAUGUAGCGGUGAAAUGCUUAGAUAUGACAUAGAACACCAAUUGCGAAGGCAGCUGGCUACACAAAUAUUGACACUCAGGCACGAAAGCGUGGGGAUCAAACAGG
rnacentral:rRNA from 1 species